CCACAAAUGAGCCUCCUGAGGAUGUUCUGCUGAAGCACACUUGCUUUCCUUGAUGAUCAUCCUUAUUGAUUUGAGGUCUUGGUGGAUUCCAUUUUACUUCACCUGCAUUACAUUAUAAUACCUGAGAGUAUGGAAUACCCUCUGACAACUGCCUGGUGUCUUUGAGCAUAUUGAACUUGAGCCACUAAUGUGUUUGGGCUGAGCAGAAGCUAAAGGGUUCAAUUGAUGGGUUCCUGAGGUAGAAGAAAUGGUUUCCAUGAUCCCAAAGCUUCAAGGAACACUUUGCAUCUUGACUAAGGUAAUUUGAAGGUUCUCCUUUUAGUACCUGGGAGAAAUAUCACCAAUUUCUUUUCUCUUGUCUUUCUGUCAUCCUGAGUGAUUUCAGUUGGAUGGAGAACUUUCCUUGUUCUUCUAUUUAAUACUGACUCUCCUUUUACCAACCACUCAAUUAAAAAAAGCUAUGGUCAACUGAACAAAAAGGCAACUUUCAGUAUGGGAGAAUGUAUUUGUGAGUGAUUUAUCUGAUAAGAGGUCAACAUCCAAAAUAUAUAAAGAACUCAUAUGACUCAACACCAAAAAAACACAAAUAUCCUGAUUAAAAAAUGGGCAGAGGACCUGAACAGACACUUUCCAAAGAAGAAAUACAGAUGGCCAACAGGCACAUGAAAAGAUGCUCCAUUUCAUUAAUCAUCAUGGAAAUGUAAAUCAAAACCACAAUGAGAUGUCACUUCACACCAGUCAGAAUGGCCACUAUCCAAAAAACAAGAAAUAGCAAGUGUUAGUGAGGAUGUAGAGAAAAGGGAACCUUCCUACACUGUUGGUGGGAAUGUAACUUGAUGCAACCACUGUGGAAAGUGGUAUGGUAGUUCCUCAAAAAACUAAAAAUAGAAAUACCAUACAACCCAGUAAUUCCACUUCUAGGAAUUUACCCGAAGAAUACAAAAUUCCUGAUAUGAAAAGAUAUAUACACCCCUAGUGUUUAUUGCUGCAUUAUUUAUAAGAGCCAAGAUAUGGAAGCAACCAAUGUGUCCAUCAAAAUUAAUAGAUAAGGAAGAGGUGGUACACACAUCAACAAGAAAAAGGACAAAAAUCACAUGAUCAUCUCAAUAGAUGUUG